GGUAAACAGCCACCCUACCCUCUCGCUCACAAGCCUGCCCUGCCCCCACUUCUCUUCUCUUAUAAAACUGAAACUGAUUCCAGACAUGGCUGCCUCACACAGCUACCAGAUGUCUCGUUCCCCUCCUCCCUCAGUCUACUAUGUACUCUGGCUCAGGCUGGUGAAAUAGAUCAUUCCUGCAUCACUAUAAAUAUAUCGGUCAGUACAUCCUUAAGAGGUUAGUAAAGCCCACUGACCUGACGAAACCUGCCGUGUGACUGGACGUUUGUGUGAGGGUGGUGUUUUGUGUGAGGCCUCCUUUGACUGCAAUUCAUUUCUCAGAUAGUAUGAUACACAUGUACACCUGCUCCCUCUAUGGACAUAAGAGAUCAGAACAUGACCUAUGGUCUAUAUAUGCAAACUGCAAAGUGGCUGCCCAUGGGAAGUGAUGCAGUCCAGAGGUCUGGCAGGUUACUGUUUGCUGGGCUAUGUGUGAGAUGGUUUAGGUUGUAGGACAAUGGAAGUUAAUAGACCAUGGACAACCUGCCUCCUGGGCUUGUGUAUUUUCCUCUGUUAUGUUUUUGUGUUUUAAUCCUGCAUAGUUUUUAAAGCAAUUUAUUGAUACAAUGUAAUGGAGCAGCAGAAGAUUCUUAAGUUAUGGAAAGAACCAUGCCCUAAAAUAAAUGUUUUUGAAACUGA